GAAGAAUGCUCAGCACAACUGGAUCAAGACUCAGAUCUGGGACAGGGAGAUGGCAGAACAGAGCAGGGAGGUCGCCCACUUGAAACAGACUGGAUGUUAUGGAAGGAAAGAGGCUGCCUGAGGGACACAUGAGACAGAAACCAAUGCCUGGAAGACCAAAGAUGCAGAACCCUCCAAGGAGAGCGCCAUUAGCAGAUCCAGAAACUGGUGUGACCUCUGUGAGUUACAGCAGCUCUGACUGUACCAAGAAAGCAGACAAGGACAAGAGAUUAAGAUCACCUCUGGCUGUCAAAGACCCUAAGCUGCUGGUGACUUCUGAACUCUAGUCCCUCAGCCAGGCUGCUGAGAGACAACACAUAGGCAUAAUAAGGUUAUCUUCAACAGUAGAUGGGACAUAUGAAAAAGACACAGGAACCAUCUGAAAGGAUUGCCACUGAUCAGAUCAAGACAACCUGAACAUCAAAAUGAAUCAUGGCAAGAAUGGUUUCCCAAAACUGAAUGAUAAACAAUCCAUGAGUCUACAGUGAUACCUAAAAAAACAUUUUUUAAAUGGGGAUUGGAGAAAAGAGAAAUACCUUUAUAAAAGAUUAUACACAAAUAAAGGUAGAAAUAGAAAAUGGAGAUAAGAAAUCACCUUUUAAAAACCAUCAUUCUAACAAUUUGGCCACCAAUUAUCAGUAGAUGCUAAAGUUGUUGGGUGAAAUAAUGUUGGGGCAUAGGAAAUGGACGUGGGAACCACAGUGAACUUAAUAACUAACAUACAAAGAAACAAGGCUGUGUUAUGUGGCUCAUGAUGCAGGGUCAGUGUGAAGGGCAUAAUAUCAGACAGUAAAAGAUUUUGAAAAGAGAAGAAAAAACAGAAAAGUAUAGACAAAUAGAAUGCACAUAUUGGUGGUGAAUGUAAAGUCCAAGAGAACAAGGUCACAUUGAAUUCACUGGAUAAAAAGAUCCUGUUAAAAAUCAACAACUAGCUAAACCAACCAACAACCAACAACCAUAAGCUGGUGACAUGAUACUCAUCUAAAAUGCAAGGUCAUAGACAUUUUGAAAAUAAGACACUGGAAAAAACUAAAGUAUGCAAACACCAAUCAAAGAAAAGCUGCUCUGGGUAUAGUAAUAUCAGAUAAAAUAUACAGAAGGCAAAAAGCAUUGCUAGAUAUAAAGAAAAUUGGUGCAAAGUAAUAAAAGGUAUAGUUCACCAAGAAAGGAAAAGUUGUGCAUCCCCAGUUACAUGGCUGCCAACCAUAUAAAGGGAAGUAUGCCAGAAACUGCAAGAAGAAUCAAAUCCUCAAGCAGAGUGGGAGAUUUUUUCACAGCCGUCUCUCAGCAACUGAUAAUGGGCAGACCCCAAAUCAGUAAGGAUGCAGAAGAUUUGAACAGGAAGCCAUCUUAAUAUAGAUUAUAUACAUAGACAUAUAUAGCAAUAUAUGUAGAUAGUAUAUAUAAACAUAUGUUAAAUAGUUAAAAUAGAUAUA